AGUGAACGCUGGCGGUAGGCCUAACACAUGCAAGUCGAACGGCAGCACAGGAGAACUUGCUCUCUGGGUGGCGAGUGGCGGACGGGUGAGGAAUACAUCGGAAUCUACUCUGUCGUGGGGGAUAACGUAGGGAAACUUACGCUAAUACCGCAUACGACCUACGGGUGAAAGCAGGGGACCUUCGGGCCUUGCGCGAUUGAAUGAGCCGAUGUCGGAUUAGCUAGUUGGCGGGGUAAAGGCCCACCAAGGCGACGAUCCGUAGCUGGUCUGAAGGGUUGAUCAGCCAGACUGGAACUGAGACACGGUCCAGACUCCUACGGGAGGCAGCAGUGGGGAAUAUUGGACAAUGGGCGCAAGCCUGAUCCAGCCAUACCGCGUGGGUGAAGAAGGCCUUCGGGUUGUAAAGCCCUUUUGUUGGGAAAGAAAUCCAGCUGGCUAAUACCCGGUUGGGAUGACGGUACCCAAAGAAUAAGCACCGGCUAACUUCGUGCCAGCAGCCGCCGUAA
rnacentral:rRNA from 1 species